UACAGAGGGGGCAAGCGUUAUUCGGAAUUAUUGGGCGUAAAGGGCGCGUAGGCGGCUUUGCAAGUGACGGGUGAAAUCCCUCGGCUUAACCGAGGAACUGCCUGUCAGACUGCAUGGCUUGAGACCAGGAGAGGUGAGUGGAAUUCCCAGUGUAGCGGUGAAAUGCGUAGAUAUUGGGAAGAACACCGGUGGCGAAAGCGCUCUGCUGGACCUGCACUGACACUGAGGGACGAAAGCUAGGGGAGCGAAAGGG
rnacentral:rRNA from 1 species